GGGGGCCCGCAAGCGGUGGAGCAUGUGGUUCAAUUCGACGCAACGCGAAGAACCUUACCUGGGCUCGAACGGCUCACGAAAGUCUUUGGAAACAGAGAUUUCCCGCAAGGGACGGGAGUCGAGGUGCUGCAUGGCUGUCGUCAGCUCGUGUCGUGAGAUGUUGGGUUAAGUCCCGCAACGAGCGCAACCCUUGUCCUGUGUUACCAUGCCGAAAGGCGGCACUCGCAGGAGACCGCCAGCGAUAAGCUGGAGGAAGGUGGGGAUGACGUCAAGUCCUCAUGGCCUUUAUGUCCAGGGCUACACACGUGCUACAAUGGGCGGUACAAAGCGCUGCUAAGCCGCAAGGCGGAGCCAAUCGCAAAAAGCCGCUCUCAGUUCGGAUUGCAGGCUGCAACUCGCCUGCAUGAAGCUGGAACCGCUAGUAAUGCUAUAUCAGAACGAUAGCGUGAAUACGUUCCCGGGCCUUGUACACACC
rnacentral:rRNA from 1 species